CAAGUACUCCCUCCGUCCGGAAUUACUUGUCAUCAAAAUGGAUGUAUCUAAAGCUAAAAUACAUCUAGAUUCAUCCAUUUCAAUGACAAGUAUUUCCAGACGGAGGGAGUAUAUG
rnacentral:pre_miRNA from 1 species